UGGGGAAUAUUGCACAAUGGGGGGAACCCUGAUGCAGCGACGCCGCGUGAGCGAAGAAGGUUUUCGAAUCGUAAAGCUCUGUCCUAUGAGAAGAUAAUGACGGUAUCAUAGGAGGAAGCCCCGGCUAAAUACGUGCCAGCAGCCGCGGUAAUACGUAUGGGGCGAGCGUUGUCCGGAAUUAUUGGGCGUAAAGGGUACGUAGGCGGUUUUUUAAGUCAGGUGUGAAAGCGUGAGGCUUAACCUCAUUAAGCACUUGAAACUGGAAGACUUGAGUGAAGGAGAGGAAAGUGGAAUUCCUAGUGUAGCGGUGAAAUGCGUAGAUAUUAGGAGGAAUACCGGUGGCGAAGGCGACUUUCUGGACUUUUACUGACGCUCAGGUACGAAAGCGUGGGGAGCAAACAGGAUUAGAUACCCUGGUAGUCCACGCCGUAACGAUGAAUGCUAGGUGUUGGGAGUCAAAUCUCGGUGCCGAAGUUAACACAUUAAGCAUUCCGCCUGGGGAGUACGGUGGCAACACU
rnacentral:rRNA from 1 species